GCGCUGGGAGUCCUGGUCAUGACAGACCCCUAGAGGCUGUGGUCUGAAAUGCUCGCUAGGUUUUGGCCCUAUCGCUUCAAAGCUCCACCUCCCUCCUCCACCUCCCCCACCCCCCACUCCUGGUAUGAAGCCUCUAAUUUAAGAAGCACCAUUGGAGAAAUAGAAGAUGAUAAGACAUGAAGGAGCCACAGACCCUAACACCAUGACCACUAAAGCCCUGAUGACUCCUGCCUGCAUCUCUUCCUGCCAAGUGUCACCAGAAAACCUCUGCCCCAUUGCCAUCUACUACCCUCACAUGACCUCCCUAGCCUCUGAAAGCAGACACUGGGAUGUUAAGAGAAUCAAAUAUGAAGAACCAAGGACUGGCCUCCCAAAUGUGUGUUCUCAGAUUUUGCUGAUGGUAAAGAAUGAGAAUUGAGGAAGAAAGAAUGUAUCUUCUGUCAGCCCUCCCCUCCUUAGCCUCUUAGCCUGCCUUUGGGUUCCUGACAUGAGUAUUGUGGCCUGGCUUCUCAGAGACUCUCACUCACCAGCACUCAUCAGCUGGGCUGCUGCCAGAGACACCGUGGCCUUGCUGUCAGUCAGACCCUCCAUGGCCGUCAGCACCAGGUGGGUGAGCUGCAUCUCAGUGAAGUACUCUGCAAAUGCCUGUAAGGGUGGCAUCAGGCCGCCUGCACCCAGGGCCUCCUGUUUGAGGUAGCCUGUGCCAUCCUUCCUGGUUGGGGUAGGAGGAGAGACCUUUUCUUGAGAAUAUGAUGUGCUUUUGUCCUAGGCCUGUGCUGUCUGCCUAGCUCCUAGAAGACUCUUUCACUGGGAACAGAGUCUUUGGGAAUGGGAGGGAGAAAACACUGACCUCAGAUGCACCGAGGGGCUCACAGGUCAGGGGCAGAGUGCUGGGAAAGAAGGGCUGAGACCAAGAUCCUUAAUGACAUGUGUUUGAGGCAUGGGCUGAGUCUACAAAAAGCAUCAUUAGUGUGAAGCAAAUGCUUCUGGGGUGACAGGUAAGAAAGAAGGAUUAGGACCCAUGAUGCUUAAGAGGGAGCAUACUGUAGCAUGUUGAAAAAUUUCCCCAAAGUAAAAGUUCACAAUCAGCAAUGGAAUGGGAAAGGGGAUGGGAUAAAGGAGUCCCACCGCAGGAGUCUAUAAUAUGAUGUAGGUUAGAGGCCCAGGCUCUUCCCAGUUUGUCUCUGGCCCUGCCCUCUCACCUUGGC